rnacentral:rRNA from 1 species
GUCUGCAACCCGACUCCAUGAAGCUGGAUUCGCUAGUAAUCGCGCAUCAGCCACGGCGCGGUGAAUACGUUCCCGGGCCUUGUACACACCGCCCGUCACACCAUGGGAGUCGGAAAUGCCCGAAGUCUGUGACCCAACCUGAGAGGGAGGGAGCGGCCGAAGGCAGGUCUGAUGACUGGGGUGAAGUCGUAACAAGGUAGC